GAUGAACGCUGGCGGCGUGCCUAAUACAUGCAAGUCGAGCGAACAGACGAUUAUCUUUCUCCUCUGACUUUAGCGGCGGUCGUGUGAGUAACACGUGUAUAACCUACCUAUAUUACUGGUAUAACUUCGUGAAACCGGCUCUAAUACCGUAUAAUAUAUUGAACCGCAUGGUUCAUUAGUUAAAUACGGUUUUGCUGUCUCUUAUAGAUGGAUCCGCGCCGCAUUAGCUAGUUGGUAAGGUAACGGCUUACCAAGGCAACGAUGCGUAUCCGACCUGAGAGGGGGAUCGGCGACACGGGAAGUGAGACACGGACCAGAGACCUACGGGAGGCAGCAGAAGGGAAUAGGCGGCAAGGGGGGAAAGCGUGACGGAGCAAAGGGGAGGGAGAGAUGAAGGACUACGGAUCGUAAAACUCGGUAAUUAGGGAAGAAGAAAAGUGGAAGUAACUAUGCACGGAAUGACGGUAACGAAUAAGAAAGCCACGGCUAACUACGUG
rnacentral:rRNA from 1 species